CGGGGGGAGCAAGCGUUGUUCGGAUUUACUGGGCGUAAAGGGCGCGUAGGCGGUCAGCACAAGUCAGUUGUGAAAUCUCCGGGCUUAACUCGGAAAGGUCAACUGAUACUGUGCGACUAGAGUGCGGAAGGGGCAACUGGAAUUCUCGGUGUAGCGGUGAAAUGCGUAGAUAUCGAGAGGAACACCUGCGGCGAAGGCGGGUUGCUGGGCCGACACUGACGCUGAUGCGCGAAAGCCAGGGGAGCGAACGGGAUUAGAUACCCCGGUAGUCCUGGCCUUAAACGAUGGAUGCUUGGUGUCUGGAGUUUUGUAGUCUCCGGGUGCCGUAGCUAACGCGUUAAGCAUCCCGCCUGGGGAGUACGGUCGCAAGACUG
rnacentral:rRNA from 1 species